GUGUUGGUGACCACGCGCAUCAUACACCGGACGUGUGUAUGUUCUCGCUCGAUUUGUCGUGCCGUCUCUUUCGCGCAAGAAGACGCUUGAAAAAACGUAAACAAACUCGGUGGUUGAUGUGAAUGUGGAGAGAGCAAUUUGGUCUUUCUUUUUGGAUUAAAAUCAAUUGAAAAUGGGUGAUUUUGUUUCUGAUUCAAUGGCUGGAAGCUUUUGAGAAGAUGUACAGCGCGUAGUUUCGUCCUGCGUAAAGCGGUGUCCGCAAAAAUAAGCACGAGAAAAGGGGCUAGUGAUCGCCAGAGAAAACUUCUGGCGACAGAUUGUCUAUUGAUAAUGCUGUGCCACGAGUACGUGAAGCUGUAGUGGUUCAUUUUGAACAGACUGGCAAAGGCGAUGUCACCAUUGGUGUGGCGGAACAAAACCAGAAAUGCCGCACCACUCCAUAAAAUGUUUAGUGUGCCAGUUUUGCAGCUUAAUAAAGGACGAAUAGGCAUCAGUGCACACAUGCUUCCACGCCCUCGUGCACCGGUAUGCAGAUCGAGGGAAAGCAGCAAAGACAUCGAUCAGUAAAGAUCCAUGGCAUUACGUCCAAUAUAUUCCGUGGACUGGUCUCGGCUGAGCAUGUCGUGCUGGCAUCAUAUUCCAGGUCACUCGGCCUAGGCAUGCCUCCCUUCAUUCUCGUCUGGUCCCGAAUCUGCGAUAGUUGCUCCUCCACUAGCUUCAACUAUUUAGCUCCCUGUGCGGCAGAUCGAUGCACAGAGCGCUCAAGCACCUUCUUGGCUGUUUAACAUGUUUCAGUUAUCGUACCCUGCUGACCUUGUCUCCGUCAGGAAAAUGCCUCGUUCGCAAAAAUGUCCAACGCAUUUUGGACACAUGCCCCAGGUUCUCCACCAAUGGGACUGAGUCGCGUAUGCUUUCUUGCUUCAAUCAUUCGGGUCAAACACGAACUCGUUUAUUGCGACAUCGACCUAGCGCACCUGCUGCACCCACGGACCUGAAUCGUUUCCGCUUGGCACGCACCCGUCAUCAGGAAAUGAAUCGUAUGUCCCACCACUAGUCGAAACACGUCCGGAGUGUUUGAUACGCAGAGACACACAGCAAGCAUCCCGGGGUGGAAGGGGCCUCCAAAAAACAGAUAUGUACGAUCUGUAAAAAGGAUUGGCUCUUUUGGUUUUCGAUAAGGUCGUUCACACGAAUCGGAACAUUGUGCUUUAAUGUCUAACAGCUAAGGCAACAAUUCUAAUAGGAAAAGCGAAGAAAAGUUCGGUAAAGACGAUAGUGGCAAUCAAAGCAAUGGAUAAUAAACAAACGAAAGCUUUUUUAAUUUUAUAA